GUAAGGAAUAUUGGACAAUGGGCGCAAGCCUGAUCCAGCCAUGCCGCGUGAAGGAUGAAGGCCCUAUGGGUCGUAAACUUCUUUUAUACGGGAAAAAACCCCCCGACGUGUCGGGGGUUGAUGGUACUGUAAGAAUAAGGGUCGGCUAACUUCGUGCCAGCAGCCGCGGUAAUACGAAGGACCCGAGCGUUAUCCGGAUUUAUUGGGUUUAAAGGGUGCGUAGGCGGAUUGAUAAGUCAGUGGUGAAAGCCUCCCGCUUAACGGGAGAAUUGCCAUUGAUACUGUCAGUCUUGAGUAUGGUUGAGGUGGGCGGAAUGUGUCAUGUAGCGGUGAAAUGCUUAGAUAUGACACAGAACACCAAUUGCGAAGGCAGCUCGCUAAACCAUAACUGACGCUGAUGCACGAAAGCGUGGGUAGCAAACAGGAUUAGAUACCCCAGUAGUCC
rnacentral:rRNA from 1 species